UAGAGGAUAAUAUAGAGCAAAAGGAAGGCUGUGUUACCUUUAUUACCAAACUCACCAAUAUUUCUCGUUACACAGCACGAGAUGAGGCUUAGCUCACUAUUAAAAGACACUUUCGAUUCUUACAUCAACCAUUUCUAAAGGCCAAAGAGGGGAUCAAUUGGGUUCUAAUGAGUGUCUUCUUGGGUUCAUGUUACAGAAGAAGUGGCAAACUACCCCCAGGCUCAUAAAACUAUUCCUUUAAAUGCCCAAAACUCCUUUGAAAGCCUUGGCAAAUGUGUGAACUCGGGCGACGAAAUGUUUUGAAAUACAACCCAUGGGCAAGGAUUCCAACUUCCUCAAGGUGUUCAGGAAUGGGUAGGACUACUGGGCAGAGGGAAAUGGAGCAGCUUGGGAGAACUUGAAUGGGUAUAGAACAGGGGGAGAUCAACCACUGCAGUGACAGAACAAGGCCAUCAGAGUGGAGAGGUUGGGUCCAUAUUCUCAAGCACUUCAGGGCUCACACACCUGCACUUGACAAGGCUUUGGUGGAGGUUGUGUUAGUAUGUCCAUGGGUAGUGUUGUGAGCCUGGUGAUAGUUUGACAAGGCUUUGGUGGAGGUUGUGUUAGUAUGUUCAUGGGUAGUGUUGUGAGCCUGGUGAUAGUUUGACAAGGCUUUGGUGGAGGUUGUGUUAGUAUGUCCAUGGGUAGUGUUGUGAGCCUAGUGAUAGUUUGACAAGGCUUUGGUGGAGGUUGUGUUAGUAUGUCCAUGGGUAGUGUUGUGAGCCUGGUGAUAGUUUGACAAGGCUUUGGUGGAGGUUGUGUUAGUAUGUCCAUGGGUAGUGUUGUGAGCCUGGUGAUAGUUUGACAAGGCUUUGGUGGAGGUUGUGUUAGUAUGUCCAUGGGUAGUGUUGUGAGCCUAGUGAUAGUUUGACAAGGCUUUGGUGGAGGUUGUGUUAGUAUGUCCAUGGGUAGUGUUGUGAGCCUGGUGAUAGUUUGACAAGGCUUUGGUAGAGGUUGUGUUAGUAUGUCCAUGGGUAGUGUUGUGAGCCUGGUGAUAGUUUGACAAGGCUUUGGUGGAGGUUGUGUUAGUAUGUCCAUGGGUAGUGUUGUGAGCCUAGUGAUAGUUUGACAAGGCUUUGGUGGAGGUUGUGUUAGUAUGUCCAUGGGUAGUGUUGUGAGCCUAGUGAUAGUUUGACAAGGCUUUGGUGGAGGUUGUGUUAGUAUGUCCAUGGGUAGUGUUGUGAGCCUGGUGAUAGUUUGGCAAGGCUUUGGUGGAGGUUGUGUUGUUAUGUCCAUGGGUAGUGUUGUGAGCCUGGUGAUAGUUUGACAAGGCUUUGGUGGAGGUUGUGUUAGUAUGUCCAUGGGUAGUGUUGUGAGCCUAGUGAUAGUUUGACAAGGCUUUGGUGGAGGUUGUGUUAGUAUGUCCAUGGGUAGUGUUAUGAGCCUGGUGAUAGUUUGACAAGGCUUUGGUGGAGGUUGUGUUAGUAUGUCCAUGGGUAGUGUUGUGAGCCUAGUGAUAGUUUGACAAGGCUUUGGUGGAGGUUGUGUUAGUAUGUCCAUGGGUAGUGUUGUGAGCCUGGUGAUAGUUUGACAAGGCUUUGGUGGAGGUUGUGUUAGUAUGUCCAUGGGUAGUGUUGUGAGCCUGGUGAUAGUUUGACAAGGCUUUGGUGGAGGUUGUGUUAGUAUGUCCAUGGGUAGUGUUGUGAGCCUAGUGAUAGUUUGACAAGGCUUUGGUGGAGGUUGUGUUAGUAUGUUCAUGGGUAGUGUUGUGAGCCUAGUGAUAGUUUGACAAGGCUUUGGUGGAGGUUGUGUUAGUAUGUCCAUGGGUAGUGUUAUGAGCCUGGUGAUAGUUUGACAAGGCUUUGGUGGAGGUUGUGUUAGUAUGUCCAUGGGUAGUGUUGUGAGCCUAGUGAUAGUUUGACAAGGCUUUGGUGGAGGUUGUGUUAGUAUGUCCAUGGGUAGUGUUGUGAGCCUGGUGAUAGUUUGACAAGGCUUUAGGUAGAUUCAUGAGCCUAAUGACAGUUCAACAAGGCUUCUGCACUAUGAACAUGAACAGAACUCAUGAGAACCCAACCCAGCUAAUCUUCUCUGUAGAAAUAGUUCUUGUUGUUGUGGGAACCCAAAGCGUCCAAGGAUACCGAGCGUGCUUAGGUCUCCUCCGUGGAGCUGAUCUGGCUGUCCUCCACCUGCCGCGCCGAGGGGAAAUACACCUUGAAGGAGAACUCGCUGCUGAAGAAGGAGCCCUGUGGAAGGAAGACGAGAGGUAGAUGACG